rnacentral:rRNA from 1 species
GUAGGGAAUAUUGCACCAUGGGCGAAAGCCUGAUGCAGCAACGCCGCGUGAGUGAUGAAGGCCCUCGGGUCGUAAAACUCUUUUCAAGAGGAAGAGGAAGGACGGUACUCUUGGAAUAAGCCUCGGCUAACUACGUGCCAGCAGCCGCGGUAACACGUAGGAGGCGAGCGUUAUUCGGAUUUACUGGGCGUAAAGCGCGUGUAGGCGGCUAUAUAAGUUGGAUGUGAAAGCUCCUGGCUUAACUGGGAGAGGACGUUCAAAACUAUAUAGCUUGAGUACGAGAGAGGAAAAUGGAAUUCCGGGUGUAGUGGUGAAAUGCGUAGAUAUCCGGAGGAACACCAGUGGCGAAGGCGAUUUUCUGGCUCGAGACUGACGCUCAGACGCGAAAGCUAGGGUAGCAAACGGGAUUAGAUACCCCGGUAGUCC